CACGUAGGGUCCAAGCGUUGUCCGGAUUUAUUGGGCGUAAAGAGCUCGUAGGCGGCUUGGUAAGUCGAGUGUGUAAACUCUGGCUCAACUCAGAGACGCCACUCGAUACUGCCAUGGCUUGAGUCCGGUAGGGGAGUGUGGAAUUCCCGGUGUAGCGGUGAAAUGCGCAGAUAUCAGGAGGAACACCGAUGGCGAAGGCAGGUCUCUGGGCCACUACUGACGCUGAGAAGCGAAAGCAUGGGGAGCGAACAGG
rnacentral:rRNA from 1 species